GAGUUUGAUCGUGGCUCAGAACGAACGCUGGCGGCAUGCCUAACACAUGCAAGUCGAACGAGAUCUUCGGAUCUAGUGGCGCACGGGUGCGUAACGCGUGGGAAUCUGCCCUUGGGUGCGGAAUAACUUCUCGAAAGGGAUGCUAAUACCGCAUAAUGUCGUAAGACCAAAGAUUUAUCGCCCAAGGAUGAGCCCGCGUAAGAUUAGCUAGUUGGUGGGGUAAAAGCCUACCAAGGCGACGAUCUUUAGCUGGUCUGAGAGGAUGAUCAGCCACACUGGGACUGAGACACGGCCCAGACUCCUACGGGAGGCAGCAGUGGGGAAUAUUGGACAAUGGGCGAAAGCCUGAUCCAGCAAUGCCGCGUGAGUGAUGAAGGCCCUAGGGUUGUAAAGCUCUUUUACCCGGGAUGAUAAUGACAGUACCGGGAGAAUAAGCUCCGGCUAACUCCGUGCCAGCCGCCGCAGU
rnacentral:rRNA from 1 species